rnacentral:tRNA from 1 species
GCCCGGGUAGCUCAGUGGUAGAGCAGUGGACUGAAAAUCCUCGUGUCGGUGGUUCGACUCCGCCCCCGGGCACCA